CGCCUCUUGAAUCUCCAUAAGAGGUCCAGCCUGCCCAGUGACCCUGUUCAACGGCCGCGGUAUCCUAACCGUGCGAAGGUAGCGUAAUCACUUGUUCUCUAAAUGUGGACUAGUAUGAAUGGCAUCACGAAGGUUAUACUGUCUCCUUUUUCUAAUCAGUGAAACUAAUCUCCCCGUGAAGAAGCGAGGAUAAAACUAUAAGACGAGAAGACCCUAUGGAGCUUAAAACAGUGCAGCAUCUGCCCCAUAAUAUAUAAAUUUCUGAAUAAAGACUCUACUGGGCAACAUGACUGCGAGUUUUUGGUUGGGGUGAC
rnacentral:rRNA from 1 species